rnacentral:rRNA from 1 species
GGGGGGGUGCUAUAAUGCAGUCGAGCGGACAGAUGGGAGCUUGCUCCCUGAUGUUAGCGGCGGACGGGUGAGUAACACGUGGGUAACCUGCCUGUAAGACUGGGAUAACUCCGGGAAACCGGGGCUAAUACCGGAUGGUUGUUUGAACCGCAUGGUUCAAACAUAAAAGGUGGCUUCGGCUACCACUUACAGAUGGACCCGCGGCGCAUUAGCUAGUUGGUGAGGUAACGGCUCACCAAGGCAACGAUGCGUAGCCGACCUGAGAGGGUGAUCGGCCACACUGGGACUGAGACACGGCCCAGACUCCUACGGGAGGCAGCAGUAGGGAAUCUUCCGCAAUGGACGAAAGUCUGACGGAGCAACGCCGCGUGAGUGAUGAAGGUUUUCGGAUCGUAAAGCUCUGUUGUUAGGGAAGAACAAGUACCGUUCGAAUAGGGCGGUACCUUGACGGUACCUAACCAGAAAGCCACGGCUAACUACGUGCCAGCAGCCGCGGUAAUACGUAGGUGGCAAGCGUUGUCCGGAAUUAUUGGGCGUAAAGGGCUCGCAGGCGGUUUCUUAAGUCUGAUGUGAAAGCCCCCGGCUCAACCGGGGAGGGUCAUUGGAAACUGGGGAACUUGAGUGCAGAAGAGGAGAGUGGAAUUCCACGUGUAGCGGUGAAAUGCGUAGAGAUGUGGAGGAACACCAGUGGCGAAGGCGACUCUCUGGUCUGUAACUGACGCUGAGGAGCGAAAGCGUGGGGAGCGAACAGGAUUAGAUACCCUGGUAGUCCA